rnacentral:rRNA from 1 species
GACGAACGCUGGCGGCGUGCUUAACACAUGCAAGUCGAGCGGUAAGGCCCUUUCGGGGGUACACGAGCGGCGAACGGGCGAGUAACACGUGGGUGACCUGCCCUCAGCUCUGGGAUAAGCCUGGGAAACCGGGUCUAAUACUGGAUAUGACUCCAUGACGCAUGUUGUGGGGUGGAAAGCCUUGUGCGGCUGAGGAUGGGCCCGCGGCCUAUCAGCUUGUUGGUGGGGUGAGGCCUACCAAGGCGACGACGGGUAGCCGGCCUGAGAGGGCGACCGGCCACACUGGGACUGAGACACGGCCCAGACUCCUACGGGAGGCAGCAGUGGGGAAUCUUGCGCAAUGGGCGAAAGCCUGACGCAGCGACGCCGCGUGAGGGAUGACGGCCUGG